rnacentral:rRNA from 1 species
CUUUACGGAGAGUUUGAUCCUGGCUCAGGACGAACGUUGGCGGCGCGCAUAAUGCAUGCAAGUCGAACGAAGUCCCACCCUUCGGGGUGAUGACUUAGUGGCAGACGGCUGAGUAACACGUGAGUGAUCUGCCUUUGGGUGAGGGACAACAGAGGGAAACUUCUGCUAAUACCUCAUAUGAUCCAUGAUCUAAGGUCUUGGAUGAAAGGUGCCGGGUAACUGGUUGCCGCCCUUAGAUGAGCUCGCGGCCUAUCAGGUUGUUGGUGGGGUAAUGGCCUACCAAGCCUAAGACGGGUAGCUGGUGUGAGAGCACGACCAGUCAGAGGGGGACUGAGACACGGCCCCCACUCCUACGGGAGGCAGCAGCAGGGAAUCUUCCACAAUGGGCGAAAGCCUGAUGGAGCGACGCCGCGUGAGGGAUGAAGGCUCUAGGGUCGUAAACCUCUUUUCUUAGGGAAGAGUAAGGACGGUACUUAAGGAAUAAGUGACGGCUAACUACGUGCCAGCAGCCGCGGUAAUACGUAGGUCACAAACGUUGUCCGGAAUUAUUGGGCGUAAAGGGUCCGUAGGCGGUUCGGUAAGUCUCCUGUGAAAUCUUCAGGCUCAACUUGAAGAGGUCGGGGGAUACUGCUGAACUUGAGACUGACAGAGGCAAGUGGAAUUCCCGGUGUAGUGGUGAAAUGCGUAGAUAUCGGGAGGAACACCAGUGGCGAAAGCGGCUUGCUGGGACAGUUCUGACGCUGAGGGACGAAAGCGUGGGUAGCAAACCGGAUUAGAUACCCGGGUAGUCCACGCUGUAAACGAUGAAUACUGGGUCUUCGGGGAAUCGACCCCUUGUGGACCGAAGCUAACGCGUUAAGUAUUCCGCCUGGGGAGUACGGUCGCAAGACUAAAACUCAAAGGAAUUGACGGGGGCCCGCACAAGCGGUGGA